rnacentral:rRNA from 1 species
UAGAUGAGCUUGCUCAUUUAUGCCGGCGACCGGCGCACGGGUGAGUAACACGUAUGCAACCUGCCCGUCUCAGGGGGAUAAUCGUCGGAAACGGCGUCUAAUACCCCGUAUGAAGCUGGACGGCAUCGUCUGGUUUUGAAAGAAUAUCGGAGACGGAUGGGCAUGCGGCGCAUUAGCUAGUUGGCGGGGUAACGGCCCACCAAGGCGACGAUGCGUAGGGGUUCUGAGAGGAAGGUCCCCCACACUGGUACUGAGACACGGACCAGACUCCUACGGGAGGCAGCAGUGAGGAAUAUUGGUCAAUGGGCGAGAGUCUGAACCAGCCAAGUCGCGUGAGGGAGUACUGCCCUAUGGGUUGUAAACCUCUUUUGUCGGGGAGCAAAAGCCGGACGUGUCCGGCUGUGAGAGUACCCGAAGAAAAAGCAUCGGCUAACUCCGUGCCAGCAGCCGCGGUAAUACGGAGGAUGCGAGCGUUAUCCGGAUUUAUUGGGUUUAAAGGGUGCGCAGGCGGAUUUUUAAGUCAGCGGUCAAAUCGUGGGGCUCAACCCCAUCCAGCCGUUGAAACUGGGGAUCUAGAGUGUGCGAGAGGUAUGCGGAAUGCGUGGUGUAGCGGUGAAAUGCAUAGAUAUCACGCAGAACCCCGAUUGCGAAGGCAGCAUACCGGUGCACAACUGACGCUCAGGCACGAAAGCGUGGGUAUCGAACAGGAUUAGAUACCCUGGUAGUCCACGCAGUAAACGAUGAAUGCUACCUG